UGCCAUCUCUCCCUCUCCUUUCUUUCUUUACCUCUACCACACUGAACUGCGACGGCGAUAUGGACAAAGCAGUUAGGCAGCGGUUAGACAGCUAGUUAGGGAUCGUUACCUCCUCCUUCGGUUCAAUUGCAACGACCACGCUGAUUGAUUCGAAGUGAUGAACUAAAGCGACGAAUAAGCUUAUGGAAAACGGAAAAGGUGAACCACAAUGGUGGUGAUGGCUUGAGUGCGGUGCGGCUGAAGCAACUGAAGGACUUAGGGUUUGAGGCAGGAAUCGCGAAAUAGAU
rnacentral:misc_RNA from 1 species